GUUUUGGUUGUGAACGGUAAACCUUUUGGUUUUCGUUUGAAAUGAAUUGACCGGCUGGCUUUCAAUGGCUUGUUAUGUUUAUUCAAUGUAUUAGGUUCUUCCAACUCGUUGAUUGACAAAGCAAAUACCACGAAAGAUUCGGCUUGUCGAACUUUACCUUAAAGUUUGACCUCAAAUCAGGUAGGAUUACCCGCUGAACUUAAGCAUAUCAAUAAGCGGAGGAAAAGAAACCAACAGGGAUUGCCUUAGUAGCGGCGAGUGAAGCGGCAAGAGCUCAAAUUUGAAAUCUGGUACCUUCGGUGCCCGAGUUGUAAUUUGAAGAAGGUAUUCUUUAGUUUGGCCCCCGUCUAUGUUCCUUGGAACAGGACGUCAUAGAGGGUGAGAAUCCCGUGCGAUGGGGUGUCCAUUCUUUGUAAGAUUCCUUCGACGAGUCGAGUUGUUUGGGAAUGCAGCUCUAAGUGGGUGGUAAAUUCCAUCUAAAGCUAAAUAUUGGCGAGAGACCGAUAGCGAACAAGUACAGUGAUGGAAAGAUGAAAAGAACUUUGAAAAGAGAGUGAAAAAGUACGUGAAAUUGUUGAAAGGGAAGGGUAUUUGAUCAGACUUGGUAUUAGAAUAUGGUUUCUCCUUGUGGGUUUCCCUCUAUUCUUUUACUGGGCCAGCAUCGGUUCGGAUGGUAAGAUAAUUGCGA
rnacentral:rRNA from 1 species